AAAUUGAAGAGUUUGAUCAUGGCUCAGAUUGAACGCUGGCGGCAGGCCUAACACAUGCAAGUCGAACGGUAGCACAGAGAGCUUGCUCUCGGGUGACGAGUGGCGGACGGGUGAGUAAUGUCUGGGAAACUGCCCGAUGGAGGGGGAUAACUACUGGAAACGGUAGCUAAUACCGCAUAACGUCGCAAGACCAAAGUGGGGGACCUUCGGGCCUCACACCAUCGGAUGUGCCCAGAUGGGAUUAGCUAGUAGGUGGGGUAACGGCUCACCUAGGCGACGAUCCCUAGCUGGUCUGAGAGGAUGACCAGCCACACUGGAACUGAGACACGGUCCAGACUCCUACGGGAGGCAGCAGUGGGGAAUAUUGCACAAUGGGCGCAAGCCUGAUGCAGCCAUGCCGCGUGUAUGAAGAAGGCCUUCGGGUUGUAAAGUACUUUCAGCGAGGAGGAAGGCGUUGUGGUUAAUAACCACAGCGAUUGACGUUACUCGCAGAAGAAGCACCGGCUAACUCCGUGCCAGCAGCCGCGGUAAUACGGAGGGUGCAAGCGUUAAUCGGAAUUACUGGGCGUAAAGCGCACGCAGGCGGUUUGUUAAGUCAGAUGUGAAAUCCCCGGGCUCAACCUGGGAACUGCAUUUGAAACUGGCAAGCUUGAGUCUCGUAGAGGGGGGUAGAAUUCCAGGUGUAGCGG
rnacentral:rRNA from 1 species